GGGGCAUUAGCGCAGGUGGUAGCGCGGUUCGUUCGCAACGAACAGGUCAGGGGUUCGAGUCCCCUAUGCUCCACCA
rnacentral:tRNA from 1 species